GGAGAGGGACGGGUGGCCGCGGGUUCAACACCCGAGGAAAGUCCGGACUCCACAGGGCAGGGUGCUGGGUAAUACCCAGGAGGAGCGAUCCUCGGAAAGGGCCACAGAAACUUCAAACCGCCCGAAGAGGGCAAGGGUGAAAAGGUGAGGUAAGAGCUCACCAGUGCUGGGGUAACCCAGCAGCUCGGUAACCCCCACCUGGAGCAAGGCCGAACAGGGGUGGGUGGCCCGCCCAUAACCCCGGGUAGGCCGCUUGAGGAGGGCGGAAACGCUCUCCCCAGAUAGAUGGCCACCCUCGACAGAAUCCGGCUUACAGUCCCUCUCCGUGA
rnacentral:RNase_P_RNA from 1 species